UGGUGGAGUGAUUUGUCUGGUUAAUUCCGUUAACGAACGAGACCUUAGAUUGCUAAAUAGUUACAUGUAACCUCGGUUACAUGGGCAACUUCUUAGAGUGACUUUGCGUGUCUAACGCAAGGAAGUUUGAGGCAAUAACA
rnacentral:rRNA from 1 species